GUAUUGCAAGUUCGGCUUGGGCUACGGCAGAAACAGAAGCGGCUGAAGAUUGACGCCGUGCCUACCACAUUCGAUCAGGAACAAGGGCAGGAACCAGUAACGGAGGCGGCAGCAAGCACGUCAACGGAAUCAACUGGAUUUGAUGUGGAGGUCAUGGCUGAAGCAAGUGCUGGGGACCCACUUCCCACUUCACGGCGCAUCUCACAAGGGGGUUGUCAUCCCCUGAUUCCAGGAAGAGGAAA